CUCUGUUGCCCAGGCUGGAGUGCAGUGGCAUAAUCACAGCUCACUGCAGCCUUGACCUUCUGGGCUCAAGUGAUCUUCCCACCUCUCAGCCUCCUGAGUAGCUGGGACUA
rnacentral:snoRNA from 1 species